UAAACUAGGAUUAGAUACCCUAUUAUAUUAAAGUUGAAUUUAUAAAUACUGAAUUAUUAAUAGAUAUUUCUUAAAAUUUAAAGAAUUUGGCGGUAAUUUAGUCUUGUCAGAGGAACCUGUUUUUUAAUCGAUACACCACGUUAUAUCUUACUUAUUUUAAAUGGUUUGUAUACCAUCAUUAACAGAUAAUUUUAAAAGAAAAAUUAUUAAAAUUGAACAUAUUAAAAAAAUUAGAUCAAGGUGCAGCUGAUAAAUAAGUUAAAAUGGGUUACAAUAAAAUUUAUUUAUACGAAAUGAUUUAAAAAAUUAAAUUAUAAAGGUGGAUUUGAUUGUAAUGUAGGCUUAGUAAGCGUAUAAGAUAUAAGCUCUAAAUUAUGUACACAUCGCCCGUCACUCUCA
rnacentral:rRNA from 1 species